rnacentral:rRNA from 1 species
ACGCUGGCGGCGUGCUUAAUACAUGCAAGUCAACUGAACUUUAGGUAGCAAUAUUUAAAGGGAGUGGCGCACGGGUGAGUAACACGUAGGUAAUCUGCCUUCAGGACUGACAUAACUCCGCGAAAGCGGGACUAAAAUCAGAUGAUGCAGCGGCUCGACAUCGAGACAGUUGUUAAACCUUCGGGGCCUGAAGAUGAGCCUGCGUCUGAUUAGGUAGUUGGAGGGGUAAUGGCCCACCAAGCCUGCGAUCAGUAGCUGGUCUGAGAGGAUGAUCAGCCACACUGGAACUGAGACACGGUCCAGACUCCUACGGGAGGCAGCAGUAAGGAAUAUUGCUCAAUGGCCGAAAGGCUGAAGCAGCAACGCCGCGUGGAGGAUGAAAUACUUUAGUAUGUAAACUCCUGUAAGAGGGGAAAAAUAUACAGUUCUGCUGUAUUGAUUGUACCCUCAGAGUAAGCACCGGCUAACUACGUG